rnacentral:rRNA from 1 species
GAUGAACGCUGGCGGCGUGCCUAAUACAUGCAAGUCGAGCGAACGGACGAGAAGCUUGCUUCUCUGAUGUUAGCGGCGGACGGGUGAGUAACACGUGGAUAACCUACCUAUAAGACUGGGAUAACUUCGGGAAACCGGAGCUAAUACCGGAUAAUAUUUUGAACCGCAUGGUUCAAAAGUGAAAGACGGUCUUGCUGUCACUUAUAGAUGGAUCCGCGCUGCAUUAGCUAGUUGGUAAGGUAACGGCUUACCAAGGCAACGAUGCAUAGCCGACGUGAGAGGGUGAUCGGCCAAACUGGAACUGAGACACGGUCCAUACUCCUACGGGAGGCAGAAGUAGGGAAUCUUCCGCAAUGGGCGAAAGCCUGACAGAGCAACGCCGCGUGAGUGAUGAAGGUCUUCGGAUCGUAAAACUCUGUUAUUAGGGAAGAACAUAUGUGUAAGUAACUGUGCACAUCUUGACGGUACCUAAUCAGAAAGCCACGGCUAACUACGUG